ACACGGAGGGUGCAAGCGUUAAUCGGAAUUACUGGGCGUAAAGCGUGCGCAGGCGGUUUGUUAAGUCAGAUGUGAAAGCCCCGGGCUCAACCUGGGAACUGCAUUUGAAACUGGCAAACUAGAGUGUGGUAGAGGGAAGUGGAAUUCCUCAUGUAGCGGUGAAAUGCGUAGAUAUGAGGAGGAACACCAGUGGCGAAGGCGACUUCCUGGACCAACACUGACGCUCAUGUACGAAAGCGUGGGUAGCAAACAGGAUUAGAAACCCUAGUAGUCC
rnacentral:rRNA from 1 species